CGCGUAGACUAGGUGGCCGCCGCCCCGUCCGCCUCAGGCGAAUCGGGGGGGAGGAAAGUCCGGGCUCCACCAGGACAGGGUGCUGGGUAACGCCCAGGCCCCGGCUGCGGCUUGGUCGUGGCUGGGGACGGAAAGUGGCACAGAAACAUACCGUCCGCCGCAGGCGGAUAAGGGUGAAAUCGGACGGUAAGAGCGUCCGGCCGUCUGCGGUGACGCAGCGGCGGCCAAACCCCACCUGGAGCAAGGCCAAAUAGGGGGACUAUGGGUGUCCGGCUCGUCCCCGGGUUGGCUGCUGGACCCCGGCGGUAACGCCGUCCCGCAUUGUCGCGGGAGCUCCAUGGCCCCAGGCCACGGGGUGGGCUAGAUAGAUGGUCACCAUCCGCCUUUGGCGGACACAGAACCCGGCUUACAGGUUUACACGCCCC
rnacentral:RNase_P_RNA from 1 species